GUGUUGUAUGAAAGGAGAGAAGAUUAGCACUCCCCUUGACAAGAAUGGAUGAAUGAGACUAAAAUAGCAAUAGUUAAUUAU
rnacentral:ncRNA from 1 species